rnacentral:lncRNA from 1 species
GUUUUAAAUUCCAUAAGAAUUAAAAUUUCAAAUUGAUUUUUUCAAAGUUGUAUGAUAUUAAUUUACCAAUUGGUGUUAGGUAAAUUAUUGUGUUGUACAUGAAAAUCAAAUUAUUUCAGAGAUCGAAGUAGAAGUUUGUAUUUUUCAACGGAUGAGAUUGAGAUAAGAGAAUAUAUUCCAACGAACGAUUCAUAAGUGAUGACAUCUAACUAUGUCAGAAUUUGAACUAUUUUAGGUUGAAAGGUAUAAAAAAAAAAUAUAAGAUAACAUGUCUAAAAAUCAAUUUAAAAAAAAGUUAACACAAAAAAAAGAGCGUAUAAUCAAAUUACUACAUAAAUAAAUAUAUAUAGCCCCAUAUAAAGCCCAAAAGAAAUAGGUCCUCAUCAAAAGAGAUUCUUUUAUAAAACUCUAAAUAUUCUUCGAGACUCUAAAAUGGGCUAUAUCCACAAUUUUCCAGCCUCAUACAGUACUCUCAUUAGAGAGGGUGAGGGUCAUUAUAUAAGAAACAUAUUGGGCUCUCCUAUUUUGGGCUUGUUAAGAAGAAAAAAAAAAUCAACUCAAAAUAUACAUAUAUGUCUGCACCUAGAUUUUAAAAAUGGCGAAAUCUUAUUGAAUUUUUGAUGAAAAUAUUACUCUUACCACAUAUUGGUACCAUCAUUUAUAUCAUCUCUCUAACAGUCAUGUGACCACAUACAUUGACGAAUCUUAUUUCUAUAAAAAAGAUGAUAAAAUAAUAGUACAAAUAGAUAAUAAAUGUAAUAUUUCUUAUUUUUUACUGAUAGUAAACCAUCAUUCGAUAUGGAGAAAUGAUAAAAUGAUAAUACAAUAUCAGUAAAUUCCUUUAAGAAAAGAGGGUGUAGCGCGUGGGGUAAAGGUAAGCGAUUCACAGAAGGUGCAUAGCUGUCUCGGACUAAAAUGUAAAAUGAAAAGUAUAAGAGCUGGGGGUUUUAUUGUCUACUGGUUCCUACAGCUAUAGGUCCCUGGGUCAGCCAUGUACUCUGUCGGCUUACGUGGCGUUGAGGUGAAUGCAGUAUGGUAGAAGAAGAGGCACGUGACAUGACUCCCACUUUGUCGACUUGUCCCACAAUCCUUGACCUUGGGAUACUAAUCCCACUGCUUUUCUUAUAUUUGUUUACAUAUCUUUUUAUAGGAUCUAGAUCCUCUCCGGAUCUAAGGAUCCUGAACCUUAGGAUUAAUUGAUCCUUGAUAUAACGGUUACAAACAGAUAAUCCUACUAAAAUUAUAAUAAUUGUAACUGUUUGAUUAAAUUUCAACGAACCGAAUCAAUUUAUCCCUAGGCUCAGAAUCCUUAGAUCCGGAGAGGAUCUGGAUCCCUUUUUAUAAGUAAAACUCGAGUUUUAACUCAAAAUUUAUUUUAGGAUUCUCUUUAGUUAGUGGACCUGACUUACCAUAUAUGUGUAUUUUUUAUUUAUAUUUAUAAAUUCAUUGAAUUCAACCGCUAAGAUCUAAUAUAAUUAAAUUUAAUAGUAAAAAAAAAUUAACGGUUCAAAUUUAAAUCCAACAGCUAAAGUAAUUAAAAAUAUAUAUUUAUGUGUUUCAUAUUCUUUCAUAAUUUUUAUUUUUGUCAAAUAUUAUUUCAUAGUAUUUUACGAGUUUCAUGAUGUCAGUUUAAUAAUUUUUCUAUAUAUAGCGAAAUCUAAAUAUUUUUAAAUUAAAAUGUUCAUAAAAUUAAAUAAGAUAGUUUACAUAAAAAAAAAUUCUUUUAGAAAAGUUACUUUAAGAAAAAAAUUAUCCUAAAUUCAUUCUAUAAUAAUUUCAAACUAAAAAUUUAACCCAUAAGGGUUGGAUGAGAAAAACUCUUUCUAGGUUCAAACCUAAAUUUUAUGGGUUAAAAAUUUUAGAUUUUAACCCAAUGGUUGGAGAUGAUCUUAGAAAGACAAAUUUUAAACUACAAUUAUAAACCAUAUAAUGUGUUAUCAAUAAUAAUUUAAUUAUCAACAACCACGUUAUAUGAUUUAUAAAAUAUGAUUUAAAAGGAGAUGGUCUUAGAAAGACGAAUUUUUUAAACUACAAUUAUAAACCAUAUAAUGUGUUAUCAAUAAUAAUUUAUUUAUCAACAACCACGUUAUAUGAUUUACAAAAUAUGAUUUAAAAGUGGGACUUUCCAUUGACUUUCUAUCAUCUCUUUUUUUUUUACACAAUGUUUUAUAAUCUUGGCAUGACAUUGAUAUUAAACUGUGAGGUGACAGAAAUUCUAUAGAGAAUCUCACUUUCAGAAAGUCUUUUUAUCAUUUCUCAAUAUUGUAUUCAAUUAUGUUGACAAAUCCACUUUUCUCACUCUGCUGCUCUGCCUUCUGGUCGAAAACGCAAAAACUGUUUAUGUUUAUUCUCACAGCAUAGCAGAAUCAAUUUUUUUUAAAAGUACAGUAAUACCAAAUUAGCCCGUAGGUUUACAUCCAUAAGCAGAUAUAGAAGUUCAGUUGUCUUGUGUACACUUACUUAAAUCUAGGAGUUCAUUUUUGCUAUUAUAUAUAGGUACUGUUUAAUAAGUGAGGUAAUGAGAAAUGAAUAGAGAAGCAUUUGGAGAAAGUCCAAACCUGUGCUUAGGUGAGGUAAUUAGGAAAGAGAUUUGCGGUUAAGUGGGAUUUAAAAGCAUAUGGUUCAAAAUAAGAUUUUCAAUUAAAUUACACAGAUGAGUUGUCUAUAAUAAUUAAAUAUCAAACUCGUUAUGUAAGUAAGUCGAACCUAAAAUUUUCAUUUAUAAUUAGAGAUAAAUAUUAUUAACAGGGGUUGGAAAAUGACAAGGAACUUGGUCUUUAAAUUUUCUUUAUUUUUCUGCUAGCUACUUGGCCUCCAAUUACAAUGAUGUGCACCUUACAUGAAUGAAGACUAUUGCUACUGCGAGACCAUUAUUAGGCCGAUUU